CCUACGGGCGGCAGCAGUGAGGAAUAUUGGUCAAUGGACGGAAGUCUGAACCAGCCAUGCCGCGUGCAGGAAGACGGCUCUAUGAGUUGUAAACUGCUUUUGUACAAGGGUAAACCUGAAUACGUGUAUUCUGCUGAAAGUACUGUACGAAUAAGGAUCGGCUAACUCGGUGCCAGCAGCCGCGGUAAUACGGAGGAUCCAAGCGUUAUCCGGAUUUAUUGGGUUUAAAGGGUGCGUAGGCGGAUUGAUAAGUUAGAGGUGAAAUGUCCGAGCUUAACUCGGGAACUGCCUGUAAUACUGGUGAUCUAGAGAGUAGAUGCGGUAGGCGGAAUGUAUGGUGUAGCGGGGAAAUGCUUAGAGAUCAUACAGAACACCGAUUGCGAAGGCAGCUUACCAAUCUAUAUCUGACGUUGAGGCACGAAAGCGUGGGGAGCAAACAGGAUUAGAUACCCGUGUAGUC
rnacentral:rRNA from 1 species